ensembl:misc_RNA Metazoa_SRP Metazoan signal recognition particle RNA
GCUGGGCGUGGUGGUGCAUGCCUGUGGUCCCAGAUACCUGGGAGGCUGAGGCAGGAGGAUCACUUGAGCCUGGGAGAUUGAGGCUGCAGUGAGCCAUGAUUGUGCCACUGCACUCCAGCUGGGGUGACAGAGUGAGACUCUGUCUCUU